rnacentral:rRNA from 1 species
GAUAAACGCUGGCGGCGUGCCUUAUGCAUGCAAGUCGCGCGACGAAACCGGCUUCGGCCGGCGGAAAGCGGCGAACGGGUGAGUAACACGUAGGAACCUGCCCGGAAGUGGGGGAUAACCUCCGGAAACGGAGGCUAAUACCGCAUACGGUCCACGGACCAAAGCCUUCGGGCGCUUUCGGAGGGGCCUGCGGCGGAUUAGCUGGUUGGUGGGGUAACGGCCUACCAAGGCGACGAUCCAUAGCUGGCCUGAGAGGGUGGUCAGCCACACUGGGACUGAGACACGGCCCA